GCCUGGGUGGCUCACUCAGUUAAGCCUCUGACUUCUGCUCAGGUCAUGAUCUCAUGGUUCGUGGGUUCAAGCCCCACGUUAGGCU
rnacentral:tRNA from 1 species